rnacentral:rRNA from 1 species
CCUACGGUAGGCAGCAGUGAGGAAUAUUGGUCAAUGGCCGAGAGGCUGAACCAGCCAAGUCGCGUGAGGGAAGCCGGCCCUACGGGUUGUAAACCUCUUUUGUCGGGGAGCAAAGCGAGUCACGUGUGACUCAUUGAGAGUACCCGAAGAAAAAGCAUCGGCUAGAUCUGUGCCAGCAGCCGCGGUAAUACGGAGGAUGCGAGCGUUAUCCGGAUGUAUUGGGUUUAUAGGGUGCGCAGGCGGAGGUGCAAGUCAGCGGUCAAAUUGCAGGGCUCAACCCCGUACUGCCGUUGAAACUGCAUCCCUUGAGUGCGCGAGAAGUAUGCGGAAUGAGUAGUGUAGCGGUGAAAUGUUUAGAUAUUACUCAGAACACCGAUUGCGCAGGCAGCUUGCUAAUCCGCAUCUGACGCUGAUGCACGAAAGCGUGGGUAGCGAACAGGAUUAGAUACCCCGGUAGUC